GGGUCCCACUGUCAGAUAUUCUCCCCCAAGCCCCGUCGGCCGCGCCCCAGGCGAAAUACACGCCGCCGCGCCGUCGCGCCCUCGGCCGGCCUCCAUCGGGCGCCUCCGUCGUGCGUGGCCCCGGCCUCUGUGUCGUCGUGGCUGCCGCAACCUCCCCACCGGACACUCCAUCCACACCGACGCCUCCCUCGACCCUCACCGCCGCCGUAUUUGUUGGUCGCUGCCCUCACCCAGUAGGUCGAGCCGGCGGCGUCGACGACUCCGAGCUCCACAACAGCGUCUCUGUGCUGCCCGCCGCCAGUUAACGCGCUCGGCUGCUGCUCCCGGCGCCGCGUGCUCCCGGCGCCUCCGUGCUCUCGUGUUAGCUGUUGCUCGGCCUCCGUGAUCCCGGUGCCGCAUCGGCAAGAAUGCCGUGCUGUUCAGGAGGAAGCUGUGCUGUUUGGGAAGAAGCAGCAGCAGCACGACGAGAAGAAGCCGGAGCUGUUGGAGCUCGAUUUGCCCCCCACGGCCGUCCCCUCCUUCGAUUACAACUUCACUGCAACUGAAAAUUAGUUAAAGGUCGCCGUCGAGUCCAUGUGCGACAAUGCUUGUUGCAGACGGUUGCAGAGGAGUGCAAACGGUGAGCGGAGGCAUGACACAAAGGAGUGUCCGCUUCCAAAAUGUGGAAGCUGAGGUAAAUUUCCUGCUCCUUUUUCGAAUGGAUCAUAUGCUCGAGGCUUUGCUGUUUAUUAUGCUAUUGUAGUUUUGAAUACUGGUUAGAUUUAAUGGUUUGCUAUUCUGAUGCAUGAAUUACUUGUUUGGGAGUAGAUCAUCUGAUGGUGGCAAAUCGGUUUGGGAUUAGUUAUUUUUCUUUCUCAAAUUCUUGAUGUUGAGUAAAUGAUCAUGAUUCAAAUACUUGGAUCUGACAUAGACGAUGAGAUCUAUAUCUUAGAUGUCACUCAUUUGGUUCAUGAUUGUUCAAUAACUGUAGUACUAGCAUGCAGCUCUAUGCUUGUAACAGAUCACUUUCUUUCUUGUCAUUAUGAGAUUGGAUGAUGCUUCUAUAUUUUGAUGAUCCCGUUUAGAUGGCUGUGAUGGGAGCCUUAUCUAACCUAACUUGCAUAGUUGUUAAAUGUUUAGCUGUUGGCAAUCCCAUGAGGUCAAUACUACCAAUUUUAGGAUAUGAUACAAUUUUUUGGCAUUUUUUUCCAUGUACAAGAUAGGAGAGACUUUUGGCAUGAUUUUUAACCAAGGUGAUAUUAAUUCAGUAAUUUUCAAGGACGCGGAAGGAUGCUACCAAUUUCAUGGUUUUGAUUCUUAUGUCUAUAGAUGUCAAUUAUGAUUUUUUUUUUGGUUCUACCUGGUUCCUAUCUAGAGUUUGACUGCAGAGAAUAAAUAAGGGAAAAAAAGAGAAGUCAGUAGUUUUGAAAGGGGUAUCACUGCUGUCAGUGACGGGAUACCAUGGCUGGCAUACGGGAAGCUGUUUCAGCAGAUUCCAAAUUUGGCAUUAGAAUAAUUCCUGGAGUUGAAAUGAGUGUAAUCCAAGGUAAGUGCCUUCUAGCUUUCAGCGAAAAGACCUUUCAAUCUCAACAACUAUACCAUGCUACUAAAACGACGACAUCACAUCUUAUCGUUGCAUACUCUCGUCAAUGGUCUGCAGUAUUGUUUAAUGUUGCAUUGCCGUCUAAUAAAAUACCACUGUAAACAGCAUUUAAGCAAUUUUACUAUGACUAUUGAUGUUUCAUAUGAUGAUUCAUCAUAUUAUGAAUUUUAUUGUCUAUAAGGGAAGGUGCCGGUGAGCCUGUUCAUAUCCUUGCAUACUAUGGUGCAUGCGGUCCAUCAAGGUCUGAUGAGUUGUACAGCAUGGUAUUGAACAUUAGAGAUGGGAGAUACGUGCAAAAAAUAUGCUGACAAAGCUAAAUACACUCAAGGUGCCAGUAAAGUGGGAGCGUGUAACUAAAAUUGCUGGUGGAGUGGCACCUGGUCGAGUGCAUGUAGCAAGGUCUAUGGUUAUGUAGAGCGAAUGUAAAGUUGGACCUUGGUGAUGGUGGCUCCGCAUAUGCUAGGAUAACGCUGCAUAUACCGGACGAGUGAGAACGAGUCGCUGGGGCUGCUUCUGAUCCCCAGCAUAUGCCGGAGGAUCAAGCACUCGACCGGGCGACCAUGACCAGAAUGUUGCUGGCGGUCGCGAACAAAUGUAAAGAAUUCAAAGUGCUACUGAAUACCACCGAGAGGGAAGGUACUUGAUACAUGAAUUCUGGUCCAAUUGCAUGUCGCAUGUGUCCAUGCUACUAGGGUUACAAGAUUGUUCUGCAAACUUAUUCACCUACUGGUCUAUUCCGAGCUGAUUAGCAUCUACACUAUCUUUUGGAGGGAAAUAACCGUAGAUUCAAGUGCUACUAUUUCUAGAUGAAUGGAUGAGUUGUUUUUUUGUUGUUGAAGAUGAAUACACAGAUCUGCAAGUACGACCAUUAUCAGUUGUACAUUCUAAUCUAAUAAACCUAAUAAACCCAGUUAUCUUUGUAGUAUUUUCACCUUUUUUUCUGUGAAAAAUUGGAGCCACAACUAUUAUAGCUAUAGCGAAAUCUUGUUCUGUCCUGUGGGAGUUGAGUUAUAUGCACUACGAGGUAACAUAGUUUUUUUUUUUGGCCAAUCAUCUCAUUUAUUUUGCAAUUUAUGGAGCACUAACUUUUCAAACUUGGUGUGCAGGUCUACGCAUCCUUUGUGGUGGAACCUACCCACUCGGGUUCAAAUCCUCGACUUGGCACGGGUGCUCGCAUUUUUCUAAAUUUAUUCUAGAAUUUUCCAGCGUUAUGCGUUAAGUGGUAAGCGACGUUCCCGUCGACAACAAGACGCCAAUGGUGACUUCGGGAAUCUUCAGAUCUGCCGGUCCAGUUUUUCGGAGGUGCUCAUAGGGGUAGAGUUUGCGUACGUGUGUUCAUAGGGGUGAGUGUGCGUGCGUGUUGUUAGCGUCUGUGUUGUACUGUACAAAAAAAAUACUCUGUGAACACUGUUCCCGCCAAGUACCACAGUUUGCGCA